rnacentral:rRNA from 1 species
CCUACGGGUGGCAGCAGUAGGGAAUAUUGCGCAAUGGGCGAAAGCCUGAAGCAGCAACGCCGCGUGAAAGAGACGGGCUUUGGGGUGUAAAGAUCUGUUAGUGGGGACGAAACUUGACGGUACCCACAGAGGAAGCACCGGCUAACUCCGUGCCAGCAGCCGCGGUAAUACGGGGGGUGCAAGCGUUGUCCGGAAUCAUUGGGCGUAAAGGGGUCGUAGGCGGCUCGGAAAGUCUGGUGUUAAAGUCGGAGGCUCAACUUCUGUACUGCAGUGGAUACUUGAGAGCUGGAAUGCGGUAGAGGUAAGGGGAAUUCCAGGUGUAGCGGUGAAAUGCUUAGAUAUCAAGAGGAACAUCGGUGGCGUAGGCGCUUUUCUGGACCUUAAUUGACGCUGAGGAACGAAAGCCAGGGUAGCAAAUAGGAUUAGAUACCCUAGUAGUC